rnacentral:rRNA from 1 species
GAUGAGCGCUGGCGGCGUGCCUAAUACAUGCCAGUCGAGCGAACGGACGAGAAGCUUGCUUCUCUGAUGUUAGCGGCGGACGGGUGAGUAACACGUGGAUAACCUACCUAUAAGACUGGGAUAACUUCGGGAAACCGGAGCUAAUACCGGAUAAUAUUUUGAACCGCAUGGUUCAAAAGUGAAAGACGGUCUUGCUGUCACUUAUAGAUGGAUCCGCGCUGCAUUAGCUAGUUGGUAAGGUAACGGCUUACCAAGGCAACGAUGCAUAGCCGACCUGAGAGGGGUAACCGGCCAACCGGGACUGGAGCCACGGUCAGACUCCUACGGGAGGCAGCAGUAGGGAAUCUUCCGCAAUGGGCGAAAGCCUGACGGAGCAACGCCGCGUGAGUGAUGAAGGUCUUCGGAUCGUAAAACUCUGUUAUUAGGGAAGAACAUAUGUGUAAGUAACUGUGCACAUCUUGACGGUACCUAACCAGAAAGCCACGGCUAACUACGUG